rnacentral:rRNA from 1 species
CACGUAGGGUGCGAGCGUUGUCCGGAAUUAUUGGGCGUAAAGAGCUCGUAGGCGGUCCGUCACGUCGGAUGUGAAAUUCCAGGGCUCAACCCUGGACCUGCAUUCGAUACGGGCGGACUAGAGUUCGGUAGGGGAGACUGGAAUUCCUGGUGUAGCGGUGAAAUGCGCAGAUAUCAGGAGGAACACCGGUGGCGAAGGCGGAUCUCUGGGCCAUUACUGACGCUGAGGAGCGAAAGCGUGGGGAGCAAACAGG